CCUACGGGGGGCAGCAGUGGGGAAUAUUGCACAAUGGGGGAAACCCUGAUGCAGCAACGCCGCGUGAAGGAAGACGGUUUUCGGAUUGUAAACUUCUGUUCUUAGUGAAGAAAAAUGACGGUAGCUAAGGAGCAAGCCACGGCUAACUACGUGCCAGCAGCCGCGGUAAUACGUAGGUGGCAAGCGUUGUCCGGAAUUACUGGGUGUAAAGGGAGCGCAGGCGGGAAGCCAAGUCAGCUGUGAAAACUACGGGCUUAACUUGUAGACUGCAGUUGAAACUGGUUUUCUUGAGUGAAGUAGAGGUU
rnacentral:rRNA from 1 species